rnacentral:lncRNA from 1 species
GCUUUGUUGAGGUUAGUACAAUCAAUAUAGAUCCUCUAUUUUUCAUUCACCUUUUUUAUCAUGACAAUAUUUGUAAUCCACUUCGAAUAUUGUGCUUCUCUGAUAAACUCAACUUUUAAGAGCUUAUCAACUUUCUCAUAUAUUGCUUUUUGCUUUUCUGGAGUACAGCUUCUUUUCUUUUAUUACACUGAUUUAUAUUUUGGAUCAACAUUUGGGUUAUAUAGAAUGAUAUUGGUGGAGAUUCUAGGCAUGUCAAAGGCUAAUCAGGCAAAGAUGUCAGCAUUUGUCUGAAGAAAAGAUAUCAAUUUUUUUCUUAGAUCAAAUUUCAUUUGAGAUCUGAUUUGAAUAAUUUUCUCUGGAUCUUCACCUAAAGGAACAAUAAUAAGUUGUUUGGCUAGUUCUCCUCAAUUUUUGCUGAUCUCAAUCUUAUCCUUUUGAUCAGGUAUUUUGAUUGAUAAAGCCUCUACUAAUUUCUUCUUCUUUGUAGCUAUCAAGAAGCAUUGCUUAGCAAGCUUUUGAUCUUUCCAUAUCUCUCUGACUCUAUUCUUGGUUUGGAACUAAACUAAUAAGUAAUAAGUGGAAACUACAAUCUUGAGAGUGUUGAGCCCAGGUCUGUCGAGGAUAAUAUUGUAAGCUGACGAUAUCUUGAUAAUUAGAAAAAUAAGCCGUAUAGUAGACUAGUGAGGUUCUCUUUCUAUGGUGCCUGAUAGAAUAAUUUUUUCUUUCACAGCUACAGAAUCUCCAGAGAAUCCAACCAGCAGAGCACUGAUUUGUUUUAAUUGUCUAACAUAUUUAUUUUUUGAAAUGCAUCAUAGAACAACAUGUCAGCAGAGCUUCUAUUAUCAACUAAUAUCCUUUUUACAUCAUAUUUUACUAUUGUCAUAGAGAUGACAAUAAUAUUAUUAUGAGGAGUUUGGAUCCCUUUGACAUCAUCAUCAGAAAAUAAAAUUAUAUUGUUAGUAUGUUACCACUUCGGAGAAGGAUCUUUGGUUACUUUUGUUAAUCCCUGAGCUCCAUCGAGACUUGAGAUCAAGUUAAUGACCCUAGCAGUGGGCAUGUUGAGCUCAUUUUCAUUGUUGGAUCAUUGUUCGGUAAUUUGGUUUACUCAAUCUCGCACAUACUUGCCAAGAUGACCUUGAUGGAACAGUACCUCAAUCUCAUCUUUAAGUUGCCGGCAUUCUUCAGUAUUAUGGCUAUGAUUUCGAUGAAAGCGAUAAUACUUCCUCUUAUCUCUUCUUAUCGAUGGAGUCUUCAUAAGAUUAGGUUGGUGAAGAUAUCCUUGGUCUUCGAUUUUUAUUAGGUUCGAAGAGCAGAUAGUGAGAUGUAGGUGUCAAAUCAUCAAGGUGGACUUUUGGACAUCGGAUUUUUUUGAGAUCGAUUAGAAUUGCUUCCUUAUUGAUUUUCAUGAUCUUCUUUUUGAGGCUACUUUUUUUCAUUCUUUUCUUUCUUCGUCGGGUGAAGUAUGCUCUCCUCUUCUUUAGCUUGAGCAUAUUUUCGAAUCCAGACCAACAUUUGCUUAUAAGUAUCUGGAUAAUUCUUGUUAAGAGAUAAAAUUAGUCGAUUGCUAUAGAGUCCUUGCUUCAAAGCAGUCAUUACAAUGGACUCAUAGAAGUUUUUUACUUCUAGUAUAGCGGCAUUAAAGCAUGCCGUGUAUUCUCGAAGAGAUUCGUCCUCCUACUGUUUAAUAGUGAAAAGACUGUUAGUAUGUUCAAAUGGACUCAAUUAUUACCAAAAUAAGUAAUGAAUAGCU